rnacentral:rRNA from 1 species
CGACGAUGCCUAGGGGUUCUGAGAGGAAGGUCCCCCACACUGGUACUGAGACACGGACCAGACUCCUACGGGAGGCAGCAGUGAGGAAUAUUGGUCAAUGGGCGAGAGCCUGAACCAGCCAAGUCGCGUGAGGGACGACGGCCCUACGGGUUGUAAACCUCUUUUGCCGGGGGACAAACGGCGGCACGCGUGCCGUCCUGAGGGUACCCGGAGAAAAAGCAUCGGCUAACUCCGUGCCAGCAGCCGCGGUAAUACGGAGGAUGCGAGCGUUAUCCGGAUUUAUUGGGUUUAAAGGGUGCGUAGGCGGGAUGCCAAGUCAGCGGUCAAAUACGGGGGCUCAACCUGCGUCCGCCGUUGAAACUGGCGUUCUUGAGUGGGCGAGAAGUACGCGGAAUGCGUGGUGUAGCGGUGAAAUGCAUAGAUAUCACGCAGAACCCCGAUUGCGAAGGCAGCGUACCGGCGCCCGACUGACGCUGAAGCACGAAAGCGUGGGUAUCGAACAGGAUUAGAUACCCUGGUAGUCCACGCAGUAAACGAUGAACACUAAUUGUCCGGCGGGAUUAUCCGCUGG